rnacentral:ncRNA from 1 species
ACCCGCACGCAGGGGAGUCCCGCCCAAGGGACUGAGAGGCUGAUAGGGCAUUUGCCCGGUGACGCGACCCUUUGAACCUGACCCAGUUGAUACUGGCGUAGGAAGCUAAGGGUACAUCGGG